rnacentral:rRNA from 1 species
CAAUACUUAAAAUACUUUACUGGCUUAGUACUGGGACCCCAUUUUUAGUAUACUCACAUUAUAUACA